GGGACAACUGAACUCAAUUGCACCUAUCCAUGAUGGCCAUUACCUAACUCAACAAAGGUUGCAUGGGAUGGGGCAGUUGCAUUUCAGACCACAAACUACACAGACUUGUUUUGAUGUGCAGGAUAGUUUGCAAGAUAUGGACCAGUCUCACAUGGGACCCUCACAG